rnacentral:rRNA from 1 species
AAACUAACAAGGAUUCCCCUAGUAACGGCGAGUGAAGAGGGAAGAGCCCAAGAUUGAAAGCUGGCGCCUUCGGCGUCCGCAUUGUAAUCUCAAGAAGUGUUUUCCGCUUCGGACCAUGCCUAAGUCCCUUGGAAAAGGGCAUCAUAGAGGGUGAUAAUCCCGUACAUGGCAUGGAGCGCCCGAAGCUUUGUGAUACGCUUUCUAAGAGUCGAGUUGUUUGGGAAUGCAGCUCAAAAUGGGUGGUAAAUGCCAUCUAAGGCUAAAUAUUGGGGAGAGACCGAUAGCGAACAAGUACAGUGAUGGAAAGAUGAAAAGAACUUUGAAAAGAGAGUUAAACAGUACGUGAAAUUGCCAAAAGGGAAGGGUAGGAGGUCAGAGAUGCGUCGCAGGAUUCAGCCUUGCUUUUGCUUGGUGUUUUUCCUGCGUUGCAGGCCAACGUCGGUUUUGGGCACUGGAGAAGGGUAGGAGGAACGUGGCACCUCUCGGGGUGUGUUAUAGCCUCCUACUGGAUACAGCGACCGAGACCGAGGAACGCAGCGUACUCGUAAGAGCGGGCCUUUUGGCACCUUUACGCUUAGGGCGUUGGCAUAAUGGCCCUCUACCACCCGUCUUGA